rnacentral:rRNA from 1 species
AUGAAAAAGGAAUUUGGAGGUCUAGGAAUCCCAAACCUCUAGGAUGUAAAUAUGUGUUUGUUACGAUCUUGGGUCAAGAGGUACUAUGAGGAAGGGACUAAACCUUGGAAAUCUAUAAUAGAACACAAAUAUAUGAUGGGGAAACCCAAUCUUUUUGCUGUCAACCUCAACCCAAACUCCUCCAAAUACUGGAAAGGGUUCCAAUCUAUUAUCCAAACCCUCAAGUUUGGAUAUAAAUGGAAAGUUGGGAGUGGAGAAAAGAUUAGAUUCUGGGAAGACACCUGGUUUGGAACAUUCCCACUAGCUAUUCAGUUCUAGUCUAUCUAUACUAUUUACAAUGAGCAAACUAAAAGCAUCAAAGAGGUGUGGGAUGGAGAGACCCUCAAACUGACUUUUAGGAGGAAUUUUGAUAGCAAGCUCAUGGAUCAAUGGUACCAGCUAGUAGAGGUUGUUGGGAGUUUUUCUCUCAAUGAUCACACAGAAUCUUUGAUUUGGCAGUUGGAGAAUAAAGGGGUCUACUCCUCCAGCUCGUUCUAUCAUGUGAUUAAUUUUAGAGGGGUGCAACCAGUUUUCAUCCAUUCUGUGUGGAAACUCUAUGUACCCCCAAAAAUUCAACUAUUUUUAUGGUUGUUCUCUGCUGACAAGUUGAUGACUAGAGAUAAUCUGAAGAAAAGACACAUUAUAAAGCCUCUUGACUGUGUCUUUUGCUCUGAUGACUAA